UGGGGAAUUUUGCACAAUGGGGGGAACCUUGAUGCAGCGACGCCGCGUGAGGGAUGGAGGCCUUCGGGUUGUGAACCUCUUUCGCUCGUGUGCAAGCCGCUAUUUGGGUAGUGGUGAGUGUAGCGGGUAAAGAAGCGCCGGCUAACUACGUGCCAGCAGCCGCGGUAAUACGUAGGGCGCGAGCGUUGUCCGGAUUUAUUGGGCGUAAAGGGCUUGUAGGCGGUUUGUCGCGCCUGUCGUGUAAUCCUCUGGCUUAACUGGGGGUGUGCGGUGGGUACGGGAAGGCUUGAGUGCGGUAGGGGAGAUUGGAAUUCCUGGUGUAGCGGUGGAAUGCGCAGAUAUCAGGAGGAACACCGGUGGCGAAGGCGGGUCUCUGGGCCGUUACUGACGCUGAGGAGCGAAAGCGUGGGGAGCAAACAGG
rnacentral:rRNA from 1 species